rnacentral:rRNA from 1 species
UACAGAGGGUGCGAGCGUUAAUCGGAAUUACUGGGCGUAAAGCGUGCGUAGACGGUUGCGUAAGUCAGAUGUGAAAGCCCCGGGCUCAACCUGGGAAUUGCAUUUGAGACUGCGUAGCUAGGGUGCGGAAGAGGGGAGCGGAAUUUCCGGUGUAGCGGUGAAAUGCGUAGAUAUCGGAAGGAACACCAGUGGCGAAAGCGGCGCGCUGGACCACUACUGACGCUGAGGAACGAAAGCUAGGGGAGCAAACAGG